rnacentral:rRNA from 1 species
GACGAACGCUGGCGGCGUGCCUAAUACAUGCAAGUCGAGCGGACGGAUGGGAGCUUGCUCCCAGACCGUCAGCGGCGGACGGGUGAGUAACACGUGGGCAACCUGCCUGUAAGACUGGGAUAACUCCGGGAAACCGGGGCUAAUACCGGAUAACUCUUUCCCUCACAUGAGGGAAAGCUGAAAGAUGGCAUCUCGCUAUCACUUACAGAUGGGCCCGCGGCGCAUUAGCUAGUUGGUGAGGUAACGGCUCACCAAGGCGACGAUGCGUAGCCGACCUGAGAGGGUGAUCGGCCACACUGGGACUGAGACACGGCCCAGACUCCUACGGGAGGCAGCAGUAGGGAAUCUUCCGCAAUGGACGAAAGUCUGACGGAGCAACGCCGCGUGAGUGAUGAAGGUUUUCGGAUCGUAAAACUCUGUUGUCGGGGAAGAACAAGUACCGGAGUAACUGCCGGUACCUUGACGGUACCUGACCAGAAAGCCACGGCUAACUACGUG